UGAGUAACACGUGGGCAAUCUGCCCUGCACUUCGGGAUAAGCCUGGGAAACUGGGUCUAAUACCGGAUAGGACCUUUAGACGCAUGUCUUUUGGUGGAAAGCUUUUGCGGUGUGGGAUGGGCCCGCGGCCUAUCAGCUUGUUGGUGGGGUGAUGGCCUACCAAGGCGACGACGGGUAGCCGGCCUGAGAGGGUGUCCGGCCACACUGGGACUGAGAUACGGCCCAGACUCCUACGGGAGGCAGCAGUGGGGAAUAUUGCACAAUGGGCGCAAGCCUGAUGCAGCGACGCCGCGUGGGGGAUGACGGCCUUCGGGUUGUAAACCUCUUUCACCAUCGACGAAGGUUCGGGUUUUCUCGGAUUGACGGUAGGUGGAGAAGAAGCACCGGCCAACUACGUGCCAGCAGCCGCGGUAAUACGUAGGGUGCGAGCGUUGUCCGGAAUUACUGGGCGUAAAGAGCUCGUAGGUGGUUUGUCGCGUUGUUCGUGAAAUCUCACGGCUUAACUGUGAGCGUGCGGGCGAUACGGGCAGACUAGAGUACUGCAGGGGAGACUGGAAUUCCUGGUGUAGCGGUGGAAUGCGCAGAUAUCAGGAGGAACACCGGUGGCGAAGGCGGGUCUCUGGGCAGUAACUGACGCUGAGGAGCGAAAGCGUGGGGAGCGAACAGGAUUAGAUACCCUGGUAGUCCACGCCGUAAACGGUGGGUACUAGGGUGUGGGGUUUCCUUCCUUGGGAUCCGUGCCCGUAGCUAACGCAUUAAGUACCCCCGCCUGGGGGAGUACGGGCCGCAAGGGCUAAAACUCAAAGGAAUUUGACGGGGGGCCCGCACAA
rnacentral:rRNA from 1 species